rnacentral:misc_RNA from 1 species
GAUGAAGAACGUAGCGAAAUGCGAUAAGUAAUGUGAAUUGCAGAAUUCAGUGAAUCAUCGAAUCUUUGAACGCACAUUGCGCCCCCCAGUAUUCUGGCGGGCAUGCCUGUUCGAGCGUCAUUUCAACCAUCAAGCCCUGCUUGUGUUGGGGUCCUGCGGCUGCCCGCAGGCCCUGAAAACCAGUGGCGGGCUCGCUAGUCACACCGAGCGCAGUAGCACAUCUCGCUCAGGGCGUGCGGCGGGCUCCAGCCGUUAAAGCACCCACCUUUCGCAAGGUUGACCUCGGAUCAGGUAGGAAUACCCGCUGAACUUAAGCAUAUCAAAAGCGGAGGA